CAGCCCCGGCCCCGGACCGACCACAAGCGAGCGCUCUUACCCAGGCAGCGCUUCAGUCCCACACCGAGAGUGCCCGCACCUUCCAGAACCGGAGUCAACAAACCCAAGCGGCCCUGCUUCACCCCGGAUCCCGGGCUCAAGCGACCUCGGCGCCUGCGGGACCGCGAGCGCCCACCCCUCCGCCCGUGAUCCCGCUCAGUCGCUUCCAGAGCCUUCCCAGGGCCGGCGGCCAUCACAAGUCCGAUCGGCACCGCUCGGGGCACGCCGGGCGCGGCCACGCCGGCGCCCGAGGCCACGCCGCUCACCGGCACGCUGCCCACGACGCCCACGCGCGGCAGCGUCAGACUCACCGAGGGAGGCCCAGGUGAUGACGGACGUCGGCGGACUCGACUUGCACUCGGCCUGGUCUCCACGCUCAGGCGAGCAGCUGACAAAUGUGUGUCGGACAAAAAGGCCCAAACCGACGCCGCUGCUGCGACAAAGCUUCUCAUCGCGUCUCCCAAGAUUCUCCUUCAGGCGGACCAAUUCGGCCGUCGUGAUCCAUCCUUUAAAUACGAGCAAACGUAGCGCGGCGCGGCGGCUAGCCUCGCCAUUCGACUGACUGUGGAAUGGACUGUCUGUCGGAACGGAAGAAAAAAGGCGGAGACUUUUUUUUGUUUUUGUUUUGACGGCGUUUUGCAGAAAUGCCUUUCUCCUGUUUUCUGGUUGGCUGAGGUUAGCAGAGGUUGCAUGAUCCCUCCCCUCGCUUCUAAUUGGCUAGAACGGCCUGCUCGAGGUUCGAGUGCCGUCUGCGUCAUCCCAAGACGGAUGUUCUCUUUUCUCACCUGACCCCUUGUUGUGCUUGCGCCGUUUCUGGAAAUGACUUUCCUCUGCUGUCCAAUUGGCUAAAAUAUGCUUAUUGUCCCAAAUGUUGAUUUUUUUUGUUUGUUUUUGUUUUUUGUUUGUUUUUGGAAUGUUUUUGUGCUUACUGUCAUGUUAUUUUCAAGUGUUUUUGACGAGCGGCUUGACGGGUCUGGCUUGGCCUUUCCUCAAGUCGCCGCCUUCUGAUUGGCUAAACUAACCUGUUCCUGGUAAUAGCUACAUCUGGCGAAGCCCCCCCCCCCUGACCCCCGCCCCCAUUUUAUUUUAUAUUGUUACAUUUUUAAGAAUCCCUCAAGUGACUUUUUUUGGGAGGGGGGGGGGCUUUUCCAUGCCUGACUUCCGACGUCUGCUACAGUCGUUCAAUGGUGCCGCUUUUGAGACCAUGCCAAGUUGAAUGUACAAUGCCCAUUUAUUUUGCGCCUUCUGUUUACGGAUGCUCGUGGCGACGCUUCUCAAUUAAGAGGAUCGGCCUCCACGGAGCCGCGCAAGCGCCGCUCGGCUAACCGUGACGGGGAUCCCACAACUGGACGAGUGCUUCUUAUUGACAGGCUUUUAUGCGACUCGAAUGAGUCGGGGAAGUCACGGCGCCCGCGCACAAGCGAGGUCGGCACAAAGCGACGAGCCCGGCUGGAAGGGGGCCAAUUUAUGCGCCGGGGUCAUCAACGCCGAGGAAUGUCAUGAGCACUUUUUGUAUUUCUUGAUUGGGAGGUUUGCUGACUCAGGGAUGUGCUUUCCAAGGUUUUAUUGAGCUCUUUGUUUUGUGAUGCCGAGACUAAACUUGAACAUUUGGACGUGCCAAAGGUAACUGAACGCGACGACAUCAUAAAAGUCUGUUCACACCAU